UCACAUCCACCUUGAACUUAGUCAAAUAUGGUUUAACAAAGAAAAUCAUCGUAAAAGUCGUUCAUCGGAACAUGAUUAUAGUUUUUCAAACGUCAAAUCGCCAACACAAAAAUGUAGUGUUUUUUGUGAAAAUGUCAUAAUUUCGGUGAUUUCGGUGUGAUUUAAUUCAGAUUUUGUGAGGAAAUGUGCUUCUUGUGUUGUUUUUAACAGUUCACUUAUCGGUUGACUUAAAAUGUUCGUCGAAGCAACCAAAAUUAUGAAAAAAAAUUUAUGACCAAUCAUGUAAACAAACAACAAUAUUGUCGUUUGGUGGGACGUGAGUUGCAGAAGAGAUGACCCAGUAGAAAUAAAAUGACGGCGGUAAUCUUAAAAAUUACGUUUUAGCGGAAACGUUUUGCUUUAAAUGUGUAUCCGUUUCCGGUAAAAUAAAUUAGUGCGAAAGCAACUACUUUUCAUGAGCUUUAUAAUAACACCUUUAGUUAGGGGUGGGUCACAUCCCUUAUUGAAUAUUGACACGACAGAGUAAAGUUAACCAGGCAGGAGC